rnacentral:rRNA from 1 species
AUAACAGUGGAAAACGACUGCUAAUCCCGCAUAAGCGCACAGGAUUGCAUGAUCCGGUGUGAAAAACUCCGGUGGUAUGAGAUGGACCCGCGUCUGAUUAGCCAGUUGGCAGGGUAACGGCCUACCAAAGCGACGAUCAGUAGCCGACCUGAGAGGGUGACCGGCCACAUUGGGACUGAGACACGGCCCAAACUCCUACGGGAGGCAGCAGUGGGGAAUAUUGCACAAUGGGGGAAACCCUGAUGCAGCGACGCCGCGUGAGCGAAGAAGUAUUUCGGUAUGUAAAGCUCUAUCAGCAGGGAAGAAGAAUGACGGUACCUGACUAAGAAGCACCGGCUAAAUACGUGCCAGCAGCCGCGGUAAUACGUAUGGUGCAAGCGUUAUCCGGAUUUACUGGGUGUAAAGGGAGCGCAGGCGGUGCGGCAAGUCUGAUGUGAAAGCCCGGGGCUCAACCCCGGUACUGCAUUGGAAACUGUCGUACUAGAGUGUCGGAGGGGUAAGUGGAAUUCCUAGUGUAGCGGUGAAAUGCGUAGAUAUUAGGAGGAACACCAGUGGCGAAGGCGGCUUACUGGACGAUAACUGACGCUGAGGCUCGAAAGCGUGGGGAGCAAACAGGAUUAGAUACCCUGGUAGUCCACGCCGUAAAC